UGGAAUCAACAGAAAGUGCACUGAAAGCACCUAGCAAAUUGAUCGAUGGUCGGAUGGCUGUAUGUAAUCUAGCAUGCGAAGGAUUAAGCGGGGCGAGCAAUACACCUGAUUUAGUCCAGAGAAAAGUCUAUGUUGGGGGUUUGUCACCAGAGAUCACAAGUGAGAUGCUGCUUAACUUUUUCGGAAGGCAUGGUGAGAUUGAAGAAGGUUCAGUUGCUUAUGACAAAGAUACCAAUGAAUCACGUGGGUUUGGUUUUGUUACAUAUAAGACAGUGGAGGCUGCAAAGAAGGCCAUAGAUGACCCACAGAAGAUACUUGGGGGAAGAACUAUCAUUGUGAAGCUUGCUGAUACUCACAAGGGCAAAACAGUACAAACACAAUUGCCUGCACCAGUGGUUCCAGUACCUUUGCCAAUGGCAGCUGGAUACACUCAGCCUGGAAAAGCACACCCUGGUGCUGCCCCUGUUGUCUAUUCUUAUCCUCAAACCAUGGCAUCAUACCCUGCUUCUUCUUACCC
rnacentral:misc_RNA from 1 species